UGAAGGUGUGAUGUAUUUUUGUUCUCAAAAGGAAUGAAAGCGUCUGGUGUAGCACAUCUUCUGUAACUUGGACUUAAACUUGUUGUAAAAAAGUAGAAUAAUAUUAUCGGGAAUGGUGGAAUGCCGUUUACGUUUAAAAGGUAAAAGAAUAUUUAUAUACUUAAAUAUUACAUACAAAGCGAAAGUCUACACCUCUACAUGGUGAAAACAACCUAAUUCCAUAGUACUUAUAAGAGUAUAAUAUGGACAUUAAUAAGUCUCGCAAGACUUUGAGAUGUUUGAUCGAGUUUGCACAGUUCUCUUAGCGGAGAUUUAUAGCACGGCGGUGUUAAUGGAAUAAUAAAAUCAGAGUAGUCAUGUAGUAAAAGAGAAAUGCCACUCUUUCAAAAAGGCGGUUGUGGAAGUUUACUAUAUAUGCGUAAGGUAUAUAGUGGAUACGGAAAGAACUCAUAAUGUUCUAAAAGAACUUCUGUAUAAAUGUGUAAUCUCAGCAU
rnacentral:sRNA from 1 species